CUUCCAGUAGCAUCUUAGAGACCAACUAAGUUUGUUAUUUGUAUGAGCUUUCGUGUGCAUUUGUAUGAGCUUCUUCAGAUACCAAGUAUGCAUGCACACGAAAGCUCAUACCAAUAACAAACUUAGUUGGUUUCUGAGGUGCUACUGGAAG